ACAGAGCCUUGCUUUUUGGCUUUUCGGCUUUUCCUGGUGGUGGUACCAGACUGCAACUCUUUCUUUCUUCCAUUGGGGCAUCGACUUCACUUCCAUUAGAAUUUAUUGGGAGCGUCGACUUCAUUGGAGUGUCUACUUGGGAAUUUGUCUACUAUUGCUGGCUUAUGUCAAAAAUUGGUGGAGAUCGAAAAAUCAAAAGUUAAUCCUUUGAUUGAUAGAUUACUUCGGCUUGUUUUGACUCUUCCUGUGUCAAUAGCAACUACAAAAACGAGCUUUCUCGAUUAUGAAGAUUAUUAAAACAAGGCUUUGCAACAAGAUGGAAAAUGAUUUUCUUACAUAUUACAUGAUUGUCUAUAUUGUAAGGAAAAUUGCUGAAAAAUUUACUGCAGAUAUGAUGAUUAAUGACUUGUACUCCAUGAAGCAACACCGAGCACAACUUAAAACGUGAAGGUAUAUAUUUGAUUUUGUUAAAUAUUUGAUAAUAUUGCUACAUAUUUUUAUUAUACUUGAGAAAUAUGCAUCUUGUUUGUUAGAAAAUAAGAGGG